rnacentral:misc_RNA from 1 species
AUCAAUAAAGGGAGGCCUAGUUGGUGGAGUAUGCUCUAGUGAAUUCUUACUUUUGAGCAGAACAACCACAUCAGACAUUGUUGGCCUUAAAGCAGGUGAAGAUUGAGUGCACAUCAAGGCAAUCUCUAUGAUUCUCUUCACUUCUUGUGNUAUUCAUUCGGGUCUAAGCUUUCAUCCACCAGUUCCAGGUGAGAGCCAUUCUCAUAUAGCCUCC